CGGUGGCGGCAUGGUGCGCGG
rnacentral:misc_RNA from 1 species